GCGUCCAUCGUCUAAUGGAUAGGACAGAAGUCUUCUAAGCUUCCGGUAUAGGUUCAAAUCCUAUUGGACGUA
rnacentral:tRNA from 1 species